CUAAACAUUCCUGAAUAAUUUUACAGUUUUUUGGAGUACAAUAUCCACUUUCAACAACAGCAAAGCACGAUCCAAUUGUUGGGUGACCAGCAAAGCUUAAUUCACAUUCUGGGGUAAAUAUACGAAGUCUGUAAUCUGCUUUAUCGAUUGUCGGCUUUUGAACAAAUGUUGUCUCAGAUAAAUUUGUCCACUUGGCAAUCUGCUGCAUUUCCUUUUGUGAUAAAUUAUCUGCAUCAAAAAAAACUGCAACAGGAUUACCUCGAAAACCUUUAUUAGAAAACACGUCUAUUUGCUUAAAU